UACGGAGGGUGCAAGCGUUAAUCGGAAUUACUGGGCGUAAAGCGCGCGUAGGCGGUUAGGUAAGUCGAUUGUGAAAUCCCCGGGCUCAACCUGGGAAUUGCAGUCGAGACUGUCUGACUAGAGUACGGUAGAGGGGGAUGGAAUUCCGCGUGUAGCAGUGAAAUGCGUAGAUAUGCGGAGGAACACCGAUGGCGAAGGCAAUCCCCUGGACCUGUACUGACGCUCAUGCACGAAAGCGUGGGGAGCAAACAGG
rnacentral:rRNA from 1 species